rnacentral:rRNA from 1 species
GACGCUGGCGGCGGGCCUAACACAUGCAAGUCGAACGAACUCGACCUUCGGGUCAUAUAGUGAGUGGCGAACGGGUGAGUAACACGUGAGAAACCUGCCCCGAAGACUGGAACAACCCGAGGAAACUCGGGCUAAUACCGGAUACCCCCAUCGGAUCGCAUGAUUUGAUGAGGAAAUGCUCCGGCGCUUCGGGAGGGUCUCGCGGCCUAUCAGCUAGUUGGUGAGGUAACGGCUCACCAAGGCAACGACGGGUAGCUGGUCUGAGAGGACGAUCAGCCACACUGGGACUGAGACACGGCCCAGACUCCUACGGGAGGCAGCAGUGGGGAAUAUUGCGCAAUGGGCGAAAGCCUGACGCAGCCACGCCGCGUGCGGGAUGAAGGCUCUAGGGUUGUAAACCGCUUUAGGCAGGGAAGAAAAUGACGGUACCUGCAGAAUAAGGUCCGGCCAACUACGUGCCAGCAGCCGCGGUAACACGUAGGGACCGAGCGUUGUCCGGAUUUAUUGGGCGUAAAGAGCUCGUAGGCGGUUCGGUAAGUCAGGUGUGAAAGCUCGAGGCUCAACCUCGAGAUGCCACCUGAUACUGCCGUGACUUGAGUCCGGUAGAGGAGUGUGGAAUUCCUGGUGUAGCGGUGAAAUGCGCAGAUAUCAGGAGGAACACCAAUUGCGAAGGCAGCACUCUGGGCCGGUACUGACGCUGAGGAGCGAAAGCGUGGGGAGCGAACAGGAUUAGAUACCCUGGUAGUCCACGCCGUAAACGUUGGGCACUAGGUGUGGGAUCGAACUAACCGAUUCCGUGCCGUAGCUAACGCAUUAAGUGCCCCGCCUGGGGAGUACGGCCGCAA